rnacentral:lncRNA from 10 species
UCCCCCUCUGCUGAGCAAGUGACCCCUGUCACUCUUUCUAGGAAAGUCCCACUGUGGGGAGGAUAGGAAAGAGCAUAACAAUGCCUGCCACCAGGAGGAAGAGGCCCCAGAUGUCAACCCAUUGCAUGGUUUGCAGGCAUCGGGAUCACCGGGAAAGACUCAAAGAAUCAAGUCACAGGCACUGGAGGGAACAAGGCUUUACUCACAUAGCGAAGAGACAAGAUCAGGCUUAAUAGUAAGCAUGGGUCCCCCAUGGCCAGCAGGUCUCACCUUGCAGAUGACGCAGGGAGAUGGUCUGCAUGCACCCUUCUUGUGCUGCAAGUAAAGGACCCGUUUCCUCCAUAGCAGUGUGGUUGGCCAGGGGCCAUAUAACCCAUAUACUUUAAGCAGAACACUGAAGUACACAUCAAGCCCGGAAUAGGGAGAAAUCCUCCCAAAGAAGACAAUAAGCCCAGCACAGGCCAUAAAGGGUCCUUAUCAGCAUGAAAGGAAGUGUGCCAGGCCCAAUGUACAUUCUUACACAGCUUGCAAGGGUCCAACGAACUGCCCAUGACUGCCUUUCCUAACAUCCCACACACCAAAGAGUGGUAGGUUGGUGGGACAGGAUGUGUGUGAAAAAAUACUUAUUGUUUUUGUAAUAUAAACAACAGAAAGUGAAUUUUAACUUAAUCUUCCUGACUGGUGAGGGUGCAAAUGAAAUGCAGUGAUACUCAAGGGGAGUGGCAAACCUAAAGCUGGAAAGGAGACUAUCUAGUGGAGGAGUCUGAUACUGAAAUAAGCCAAUGUUAAGGCAGACUGAGAUAAGUGUGAUAACUUGUCCCAGGAAAGAUGAACAAUGAAGUAUCAAGGUAUCGCCUUUUAAAAUUUUUUAAUAGUAAAUUUUCUAAAUGUAAUACCAGGACAAAAGAGGAAAAAACAUUCUGUGCACUUCAAUAUAAAUAUAAUUCUAAUGCAUUUAUAAGAAUAACCAUAAUUUGCGCUAAUUUGGUUUUAAAACACAUCUGUAAUCCCAAGGACUUUAUUAUUGGUAUGAAAUUUCUGAGGAACUAUCUAUAAGAAAAGAAAAAGAUGAGAAGAGAGACAGAGUAUUAACGGUAUUUGUGUCCACACUUCUAUUCCCUGAAAUUUUCAGUGUAUCCUUGUUUCUAGUAUUUUUUCUGAUUCUGUGAACUACCUCAGUCUCCUUCCAAUAAAUUCCAUUUUGAGUUUAAACUAGUUUGCAUUGGGUUUCUUUCCUUUCAUUCAAACAAAAAAUUCCUUAAGAGCGUAUCUUUAUAGAUAAGACUUUUAAUUCUGGAUUGGGAAUUAGAGUAUCUCAAUUCUACUUAACCUAUGCUAUUUCCUAGUUGGGAAUCCUUGAUAGUCACCCAACCUCUCUGACCUAGUCUUCUGGCUGAGGAGAGAUCCUCAGAGAUCCAUUUCUUAUAAAUCUACAACUCCGACAGGAGAAAGCCUCAUCUGCAGAGUCAGUUAAGAAAUUCUGACCUUCUAGGGUGGGUUAUUUGGAGGCCCCGUUAUUUAACCUUUUGGUUCACAGUUACGUUGAGGUUUAUUAUACUCUUGUAAUGUGUUAUACUUUCCAUAAUUAAAAAAUAAAAAAGGUACAAUUCUUGCUUUCUCAGACCAUAGCAAUGCAAGGAUAACCGGGGAAAUUGAAUAAUAAAAACUGGUUUGGGUCUGGAACUACCUGUGGCUGAGUAGGUAAGUCUGUCUAGUUCUGGAGUUUAGCCUUGGGAAUUCCAUCUGCCUCCAGAUAAAACUCACAUUCUUCUACAUCAACUUCAAUAGUAAUAAAAAUAAUCAUUUCCUCUUCAUCCACCUCAUCCCUGUAUCUUCUUUUUCAAUUCAUUCAGGAAUUUGUUGGAAGAAAAGAAUGCAACUUAUUGGCUUGCUCAGUUUCCUAAAAAUGUUACUAUGCCUGCCUCAUGGAUUGACCUUGGUAUUGCCAUUGGAGCUUCACCUUCUCCCUCCAUCAGGAAACUUAAGACCAACUCCAUUUGAUCUGAUCAGAGGACGUCUAUAAGGACCAACACAGUGUCACAUUCAAAAGCAUCUUUCUCCCCCUCCAAUCAACCAGUGUCCUGGGGCCUUCUUACCUCUGGGUAAGUUCUUUGCUAUCUUGGGCUCUCCUAGAGGUGGACAAUGAUCUUCCUUUUGGUUGAGAGUCCUAAUUGAGGAGCCUUAAGAUCUGACCAUUUGUCUAAAAGUCCUCUAGAUAACUUCUCCCAAGUUUACAUUGGUCCUUAUGCAAAUACACCUCCAAAUGGCCCAUCCCAGAAUGUCAGAAUUUCUUAACUGUACCCUGGAAACAGAGUCUCAGGGCAAACCAAGAAUGUGUCCUGGAGUGGACUACCCGAAGCACAGUACUUAUACAUUCUCUUUCACAGAAAAUGAGAAGGUGGCCGAGAAGGAAAGGUGACAUUCUUACAACUCUAAAUGGUGCUCAGUGUUGUUAUAAAUAAGAUAAAGCAAAUAUGUGGUUCAGGUAUAUAGAGUAAAAGAUUAACAUGUAUGUAGGCAUCUCGGGGUCUGGGGAGGGAUGAUUGAUUUUAUCUUGCCUUUAUUCUUCAUCUAUAGGCAAGGUUGUCAUCAACACAGGUCAGUGGAAUAUUUGACAUAUUCUAGGCUUGCAGGCUGAGAUUUCAGCUUUUGUUCAUAGGCCUAGUUUAUAUUAAUUGUUCACAGUUAUUAACUGUAUAUCCUGCCUGCAGCCACCUUGGGAUGCCAUUUUUAAAAACUUUUUUCUUCAGCUUUUUCUUUCCUCCAGGAGUUGUGGUACACCACCCUCCCUGCAUGUAUUCAGCAACCUAGAAGCUGUCUGAACCCUGUCCUUUAGGGUUUUAUAAUGACUUCACUACAGAGACACGAUUGAUUAAAUUAUUGGCCAUUGGUGAUUAACUCAAUCUUCAGCCCCUCCAUCCUGGAGACUGGGGGUGGUGCUGAAAGUUCCAACCCCUAAUCACGUGAUUGGUUCCUCUGGCAAUCAGUCCCCAUCUCUUCAGGAGUCCCCACCCAUCAGUCAUUUUAUUAGCAUAUCUUGAAAAAACUUCACUUUGGAGAUUCCAAGUGUUUUCAGAGAGGUGUGCCAGGAAACCAGGGCAGAGGCCAUAUAUAUGUAUUUUUAUAAUCUCACAAGAUAUUAACAGAAUAUAGUUUAAACUCUAUAAAACGUUUUAAAGAGGGUUUGUUCUGAGCCAAUAUGAGUGACUGCAGCUCAGGGAUACACAGUCUCAAGAGGUCCUGAAAAAGUGAGCCCAAGGCAAUCGGGUUAUAGUUUGGCUUUAUAUAUUUCAGGGAGACAGAAAUUGCAGGUAAAAUCAUAAAUCAAUGGAAUGUAUAUAUUGGUUUGGCCUGAAAAGGUGGGACAUCUCAAAGUAGGGGCUUAAAGUCAUAGGUGGGUUUUAGGUGUUCUUUAGUUAGCAAUUGGUUUGAAGCAGUGAAGCUUUAUCUAAAUACUUGAAGUCAGUAGAAAAAAAAAAAGCUUAAGAUACACAGUCUGCUAUCUGUCAUGUGAUGCUACACUAGAGUCUGGUUGGAAGGUAAGCCACAUUAUACCAGGUUACUUAAAACAGACACACACACACACACACACACACACACACACAGAGACACAUUAACGGGAUUUUAUGGUGUGUGACUUAACCCUGGCCUUGCAUAGACUUAGGUUUUUUUGUAAUUUGGUAUUCUAUUACCACAAAAAGCCUGUUUUGUCAGUCUUAUGACUUCUAUUUUAACAUUAAUGUUGGUCACUUGUGCCUACGCUCCAUGAUGAGGCGUGACUGACUUCGCUUCUCAUCAUAACAAAGAACUCAGAUUUGUGGGUUUCACUGGAGUCCCCUUGGCUAAGAGGGGGUCUGUUCAGUUAGGGAGCUUAGGAUUUUUUUAGCUUAUAAUAUUACUCUGUUUUCUACUAAAAGUGUAAUCAUUUUAGCUCUUAUAUUAGGGUAUAUAACUUACCUCAAAUUAAUUUUUUUGUAGGUAGGGUAUAAGAUGGGGCCAAGCUUUAUCUUUACAUAUAUAUAUAUUUAUAUACACACACAUAUAUGUUCACAUACUCAAAUAUAUAUUUGUAUGUGUGUGUUCAAUUGUUCCAGCAUCAUUUGUUGAACAAACUUCCCUUUUUUCAUUGAAUUUAUUGGGCAUCUUUGUUUAAAAUCAAUUGACCAAUACAGAAAAUUAGCUGGGCGUGGUGGCACAUGCCUGUAAUCCCAGCUACUGGGAGGCUGAGGUGGGAGAAUCUCUUGAACACAGGAGGUGGAGGUUGCAGUGAGCCAAGAUUGCACCACUGCACUCCAGCCUGGGGAACAGAGCAAGACUCCAUCUAAAAAAAAAAAAAAAAUCAAUUGACCUAUACUUAUACAGGUGUGAGGUAUACCUUAUAGAUACAGGUAUUAUCACUGGGGUUGCAUUGGCUCCAUAAAUCAACAGGGGAAGAACUGACAUCUUAGCAAUAUUGAGCCUUCUGUUCCAUGAAAAUGGUAUAUCUCUGCAUUUAUUUAGGUCUUUUAAAUGUUUACUCAGUAAUGUUUUUUCUUUUUUUUUUUUUUGUCAGGGUCUCACCCUGUCACCCAGGCUGGGGUGCAGUGGUGUGAUCUCAGCUCACUGUAACCUCCACCUCCCAGACUCAAGUGGUCCUCCCAACUCAGCCUCCCUAGUAGCUGGGACCACAGGUGCACACCACCAUGCCUGGCUGAUUUUUUUUUUGUAUGUUUGCAAGACACAGGGUUUCACCAUGUUGCCCAGGCUGGUCUACAACUCCUGAGUUCAAACGAUCCUCCUGCCUCAGCCUCCCAAAGUGCUGGGAUUACAGGUGUGAGCCACCACACCCAGCCCAUGUUUUGUAGUUUUCAACAUAUUUUGCAUGUCUUUUGUCAAAUUUAUUCCUGAGCAUUUUAUUUUUGACACUAUUACAAAUGGAUAAAAAUGUUUCCGAUUGCUUGCUGUUAGUAUAUAGAAAUACUGUACAAUUGAUUUUUGCAUGUUGACCUCAUAUCCUGAGAUCUUGCUAAACUUAUGUUUUAGUUCUAUUAAUUUUUGUUUCAAUUUCUUAGAACUUUCUACAUAAAAAAUAAUAUGGUCUUCAAAUAAUGUUUUACUUCUUCUUUUCCAAUCUUUAUGUCCUUUCUUUCUUCUUGCCUUCUUGCACUGGUUAGGACUUUUGGCAUAAUGUUAAGUAGAAAUGAUGAGAACAGACAUCUUUCCCUAUUCCCAAUCUUAGUGGGAGAAUGUUCAGAGUUUAGCUAAUUUAAUGUUAACUAUAGAUUUUUUAAUAGAUGCCUUUCAUCAGAUUGAGGAAGUUUCCUUCUAUUUCCAGUUUGCUGAUUUUUUUUAUCAUAAGUGGAUAUUGAAUUUUGCUAAUUGCUUUUCCUUCAACUACUGAGAUGUUCAUAUUGCACUGCUUCUUUAUUCUGUUAAUAUAAUGAAUUACACUUUUUGAUUUCAAAUGCUAAACUAUUAUUGUAUUCCUAGAAUACACUCCAUUUUGUCAUUCUUUAUGUAUGUUGCUGGCUUCAUUUGUUAAUAUUUUGCUGAGCAUUUUUGCAUGUAUCUACAAGAAAUUUUAGCCUAUAGUAUUCCUUUCUUGUAAUAAAGGUCACAUAAUAUGGAAGUGACUGGGGUUGUGGGAAAGUAUAUUAAGGUUGAUGUGCUCUUUGGUGACUCUAAAAUUAUACCAGUAGUCAAUCAAUUACCCACUCCACCUUAAGACACUUUAUAUAUACAGUUUAAACAUUGCUUUAAAAAUAUAGUUAGUGUAGUGCCUUAGAUGAUUUCAAUCACUCAAUGCAAAUGACUGCACAGAUUUGAUAAACUGGACAGAAAAAGGUAAUUAAGAUGGCAAAAGAAAGAGUUCAGCCAUCAGCCUUAUAUAUUCUCAGAAGAGGGAAGAAGAGAAAAAUAAGUUGGAUUUUUUCCCAUUUCAUUAUCAUUUUAUUAUGUUUAUAUUUGCACAUUUCAAAAGUGAGAAAAUUCAACUCAUUGAAAUUGGAAGAAAAAGUUUUUCAGGCCAUCUCAGUAAUUCUUAUGCACAGAAGCAUUGAAACCAUUGGCAAGCUCUGUCUGGCAGGUCCUUAUUAAUGACAAGUCUGUAUGGGUUUUUUUUUGUUUUUUGUUUUUUGUUUUUUUGACAGUUACUUGGUUUAGUUUUCAUUUGAGGAUCUCCAUUUUAAAGGUCACUGUCCCACAUCUCUAUCUUAACUUUAAAAAAAGACAUUUGUAUCUGGCUGAGAGCUACCAGAAGGGUAAAAACAAACAAACUGAUGGAAAAGAGACAAGUUAAGCGUCUUACAUUGUUUUCAGAUGUGAAGACAGUGGGAAAAAUAUGGCAUUAAUGUGUUAAAAACACACACAUUUUGACAAAACUGACAACAAAAUCUUUGAAGAGAGCUGCCUCCUAAGACAAAAAGCAUCCUUGUCCUUACUUAAGGACAAUUUUGAGAUCAGAGAUAUAAAUGAAGACAUGUACAAGACUGUGCUUUGAGUAGCAAAUUUUCUAACAUAAUUAAAUGAAUAAUUAUUGAGCCAUAUGAUAGAAUAUAAUGCAACCAUUGAAAGUCAUCAUGAAAAUAUGCAAUGUCAUAGGAAAUGCCUAUGAUACUGUAACAAGAAAUUCAGACAUACACACAUCCCAAUACAGUGGGCCAAGUGAAAUAAUUAAUUAAAAUUAAUUAAAAAGAACAAUCCUCAGAUACUAGGUAUAAACAUAGAACAAAAACUAAAAGGAAAACACUAAAUUUGUAAUGGUGGUUACCUUAGUGUGAUACAAAUAAAUGAUUUUGGUUUUAUUCUUAUAGUUUUCUGCAUUUUUAAAUUUUUUUCCUAAAACUGGUAUUAUUUCUCUAACAAGAAAAAAAUAUAUAGAAAAAUAGAUUUUUUUAGAUGUCAGUUUGGGAAGAAGUGUCACAUGUCAUACAUGAUACAAGAGACUAAUUUCCCACUCAGCUUUAGAGAUGUACUUGUGAAAUAGCUGUAUUUUAGCACAGAUAAUUUACUUGGUAUCUUAGUAUCUUAAUGAUAGUUCCAGUGAGCCAUUUGGUUUUUGAAGGACAGUUCAGGGAGCCACAUCCUAACAGCUUGACCGCUCUCAUUUCUGGCAUGUGGAGGUGCCAACUUCCUCAUUCCCUGCCCUCUUAACACCACAAGCUGUCAGUUUCCCAGUCACUCUGAACUGUUGGUAGCUUUACAGGCAGGUUGCUGUGCAGUAGAUCUGUGUUUCUGAUAAAUACUGGGUUCUGUUUUGCAUCCAGGCCAGGUAUAUGAGGCAAUCAGCUGGAGCCAGUACAUGGACAUGUUUCAUUGUUCUGUCUGGAGAUACAGUAGAGAGAAAAAUGCUGGGGGUUUGGCAGUGGAGACCUGAAUUUGAGUCUGUUUAUGACAUUGGACAAGUUCUUAACUGCCUUGGGCCUCAGCUCACCCUGAAUGGGUAAAUUAAAUGACCUUUGCCAUACCACUGUGUCAGAGUUGUGAAUUUCAAAGAGUGCAUACGUGUUAUCUAUAACUUGAUUCUAAAGUUUAUAGGGGCCAUGUGUGGUGGCUCACGCCUGUAAUCCCAGCAGUUUGGGAGGCCAAGGUGGGUGGACCACCUGAGGUCAGGAGUUCAAGAUCAGCCUGGCCAACAUGGCAAAACCCUAUCUCUACUAAAAAUACAAAAAUUAGCCAGACGAGGUCACAGGUGCCUGUAAUCCCAGCUACUCAGAGGCUGAGGCAGGAGAACUGCUUGAACCUGGGAGGAGGAGGUUGCAGUGAGCUGAGAUCGCACCACUGCACCACUGCACUCCAGUUUGGGUGAGACAGCAAGAUUCCGUCAAAAAAAUAAAUAAAAAUAAAAAUGACAAUUAAAGUUUAUAGGGGAAGGCAAAACAAACAACAACAACAACAACAAAACCCUCACAGAAUAGCCAAUACAAUAUUGAGAAACAAACUUGGAGGACUGAAAGUACCCAGCUUCAAGACAUACUAUAAAACUACAGUUAUCAAGACAGUGUGGUAUUGGCAAAAGAAGAGGCAAAUAGAUCAAUAGAACACAAGAGAGAGGUCAGAAAUAAACCCAUACAAAUACAGUUAACUGAUCUUUGGCAAAGGAGCAAAGGCAAUUCAAUGGAGAAAGGAUAGUUGUUUCUUAACAAAUAGUGCUGGAACACAUGUACAUCAACAUGUAAAAAUAUGAAUCCUGACAUAGGCCUUAUAUCUUUCACAAAAAUUGACUCAAAAUGGAUCAUAGGCUUACCUGUAAAAUAUAAAACUAUAAGACCCCUAGGAGAUAUCACAGGUAAAAUCUAGAUGAUCUCUGCUUUGGGGAUGACUUUUUAGAUACAACACCAAAGGAUGAUCAAUGAAGGAAAAUAUUGGCAAGAGAAACUUCAUUCUGUUGGGGUGAUCAGACCCAACACCAGGUCGUGGGGGUGACAAAGUCCGGCGGAGCCAAAGGAUGGAGAAAAAGACAGUUCGAGAGAGACAGGUGGGACACCAUCUAGUUUACAGAGGCUGCGAAGGCCCCAAGCUCUGGGAGCCCACGCUAUUUAUUGGUAAUCCAAGAAAGAAACAGGUGGUGAGAAUUUGGAGGUCAAAAGGGCACAUUGCAUUAAGCACAUGAUUUACAGCUGUGAUGGUUCAACAUUUAUAUGGAACAUGUUCUGCUACUUGAGAUAAUGGGAAUAGGAGACUAGGAGCCUAGGAGGGCUAGAAGCAAGGAGCCAGCAAGUCGAGACACAUUCCAGAGGACAUUAGGCAGGCCCUGCCUCAGUUUCCCUCCCAACAUUCAGCUUUUUCCCAACACAUUCAACUUAAAAAGUUUUGCUCUGUGAAAGACACUGUUAAGAGAAUGACAGAUGAGCCUCAAACUGAGAGAAAAUAUUUCAACCCAAAUGAGUUGAAAACACAAACCUGCUUACAAAUGUUUAUAGCAGCUUUAUUAAUAAUUGCCAAAACUUGGAAGUAACCAAGAUGUCUUUCAAUAGGUGAAUGAAUAAAUGGAAUAUUGUUCAAUGAUAAAAAGAAAUGAACUAUCAAGCCAUGAAAAGACGUGGAGAAACUUCAAUGCAUAUUGCUAAGUGAACAGUCUUAUAGUGCUACAUACUGUAUGAUUCCAACUAUAUGACAUUCUGGAAGACGCAAAACUACGGAGACAGCAAAAAGAUUAGUGAUGGCCAGGGGUUGAAGGGAGGGUAAAAUGAGUAGAUGGAGCAGAGAGGAUUUUUAGGCAGUGAAACUGUGCUGUAAGGAUGUACUGUAAGGGUGGGUGGACACAUUUGUCAAAACCCGUGAAUGUACAAGAGUAAAUUCUAAUUCUAAUAAAUUUCAGGUUUUAGUUCAUACUGGUUCAUCAGUUGUAACAAAUGUGCCACACUAAUGCAAAACAUUAAUAAUAAAGGAAAAUGGGGGUUGGGUGGGAAGUGUAUAUGGAAACUAUAUUUUCUGUUCAAUUUCCUAUAAACCUAAAACUAUUAUCAAAAACAGUCUAUUAUUUUUUAAAAGUGUAUGUGAAAGCCAUUUCUAAGUAAAGCACUAAAGAAGGAUAUUUUGGCUACAAGUAAUAGAAAACUCAGUUAAAAUAUAUGUGUGGUUUUUUGUUUGUUUUUCAAGACAGGGACUCCCUCUGUCCCCCAGGCUGGAGUGUGCAGUGAUACGAUCAUAGAUUACGGCAACCUCGAACUCCUGGGCUCAAGGGAUCCUCCCACCUCAGUCUCCCCAAUAGCUGGAACUACAGGCCCACAUCACCAUACCCAGCUAUUUUUAAAUGGUUUCGUAGAGAUGGGUUCUUGCUAUGUUGCCAGGGCUGAUUUUGAAUUCCUGGCCUCAAGUGAUCCUCCCACUUGGUCUUUCAAAAUGCUGGGCACCACUGUGGCUGGCCUAUAUGUUUUCUUGAUUGUGCACACCUAACAGUAAAAGAAAAAUUGUUUGAGAAUGCACUCAACAAUUUAUAUAAAAGUAUGUAUUCAUUUAUAUAUAAAGUAUACACAUUACCUGUAUCAAUGUUAUGUACAUUUUAUAAACAUACAUAAAAAUACAAUUUUA